rnacentral:rRNA from 1 species
UACGAAGGGUGCAAGCGUUAAUCGGAAUUACUGGGCGUAAAGCGUGCGUAGACGGCCAUCUAAGUCGGGUGUGAAAGCCCCGGGCUCAACCUGGGAAUUGCAUUCGAGACUGAAUAGCUAGGGUACGGUAGAGGGAAGCGGAAUUUCCGGUGUAGCGGUGAAAUGCGUAGAUAUCGGAAGGAACAUCAAUGGCGAAGGCAGCCGCCUGGGCCUGAACUGACACUGAGGCACGAAAGCGUGGGUAGCAAACAGG